rnacentral:lncRNA from 1 species
AUGUCCCCUGUGGAGGAGGCUCCGGAACAGGAUCCGCCGGCACAUUCCAUCCCAAAUUCCAUUUUGGGAUCAAAGAGGAGAGCCACAUUCCUGGGAACACCGGAAGCCUCAAAGGAGGGGGGGGGGAUCCCAGCUCCGAGCGGAUCCCGGUGGGAUUUGAGGCCGCUCCGGAAUGGCCGGUCCAGGAGGAAAUUUGGGAAGAAGAAGCGGGAAUUCCAAGUGGAUCUCUGGGAAUGGGGCAGGCUUGGCCUUGAGCUCUGGAUGGGAAUUCCGGGAUGUGGGAAUCAGCAGGGCGGUGACCCCGGUGUCACCGUCACCUCCACGGUGUCCUCGUCGCUGUCGUCUGAGCUGCAGAUGAUGAUGCUGCUGAUCUCUGCAAGGGAAAUCCUGGGAUUCGGCAUCCCACGGGAUCAACAUUGCCACGUUUUGCAGCGGGAACCACCCCGAGCUCGCUGGGAGCAACCCCUGCAAUGGUGGGGACUUCAUGGAUCCUUCACAUGGAUCCUUCAUCCCAUGGAUCCUGCAUUCCAUGGAUCCUUCAUCCCAUGGAUCCUUCACAUGGAUCCUUCAUCCCAUGGAUCCUUCACAUGGAUCCUUCAUCCCAUGGAUCCUUCACCCCAUGGAUCCUCCAUCCCAUGGAUCCUGCACCCCAUGGAACCCUCGCCCCAUGGAUCCUUCAUCCCAUGGAUCCUUCACAUGGAUCCCUCAUCCCAUGGAUCCCUCAUCCCAUGGAUCCUUCACAUGGAUCCCUCACCCCAUGGAUCCUUCAUCCCAUGGAUGCUUCACCCUAUGGAUCCUUCAUCCCAUGGAUCCUUCAUCCCAUGGAUCCUUCAUCCCAUGGAUCCUUCACAUGGAUCCCUCAUCCCAUGGAUCCCUCAUCCCAUGGAUCCCUCACCCCAUGGAUCCCUCACAUCCACAUCUUUGGCCAAGAUUCCCCUAAUGGGCACACAGAGAGGUCGGGAAAGAUCCCAUGGGACGGGGAAAAGCUGGGAUCACAAGGAUGCCGCCGUUCCCGCUCCCCACCUGUGUCCUCGGCACGGCUGCAGUUGUGCCGCGACGUGGAGGCGUGGGGCUCCCUCUGGAAUUCCCAGCAAAAUUCGAGAUGGCUGGGGCCCGGCACGUGGUCACAUUCCAGCUUCAGGAUUUUGGGAGAGAUCUGGCUGCCCCUCUCCACGUAGGGAAGCGGCCGCUUGGUCCAGCAGGAGAGAGGGAGAGGCUGGAAAAGCAGGAUUGGGAGGUGCUGGGGGUGGGAAGGCCUGGAUCGCACCGGAUCCCACCCGGAUCCAUGGGAUGGGCCUCACCUGGUCCGUAUGGAUCUCCUCGGGGAUGGGGGAGGUGCUCUGGGUUUUGGGAUGGAUUGGAUCCUCUCCCUGCGGGAAGGGCAUGGAGCAGCGUUAGGAUGAACUUGGAUCCUUCAUCCCAGGGAUCCUGCACCCCAGGGAUCCUGCACCCCAUGGAUCCUUCACUCCAUGGAUCCUGCAUUCCAUGGAUCCUGCAUUCCAUGGAUCCUUCACUCCAUGGAUCCUGCAUUCCAUGGAUCCUUCACUCCAUGGAUCCUUCACAUGGAUCCUUCACACCCUGGAUCCUCCAUCCCAUGGAUUCUGCAUCUCAUGGAUCCUGCAGCCCAUUGAUGCUUCACUCCAUGGACCCUUCACCCCAUGGAUCCUGCAUCGCAUGGAUCCUUCACAUGGAUCUUUCAUCCCAUAGAUCCUUCACCCCAUGGAUCCUGCAUCGCAUGGAUCCUUCACAUGGAUCCUUCAUCCCAUGGAUCCUUCACCCCAUGGAUUCUGCAUCGCAUGGAUCCUGCAGCCCAUGUAUCCUUCACCCCAUGGAUCCUUCACAUGGAUCCUGCAUUCCACGGAUCCUUCACUCCAUGGAUCCUCCAUCCUAUGGAUUCUGCAUCCCAUGGAUCUUUCACCCCAUGGAUCCUCCAUCCCAUGGAUUCUGCUUCUCAUGGAUCUUUCAUCCCAUGGAUCCUUCACCCCAUUGAUGCUUUGCCCCAGGAAUGCUUCAACCCAUGGAUCCUGCAUUCCAUGGAUCCAUAACCCCAUGGAUUCUGCAUCCCAUGGAUUCUUCACCCCAUGGAUCCUUCACAUGGAUCUUCCAUCCCAUGGAUCCUUUACUCCAUGGAUCCUUCACCCCAUGGGCCCUGCAUUCCACGGAUCCCUCAUCCCAUGGAUCCUCCAUCCCAUGGGUGCUUCACAUGGAUCCUUCACCUAAUGGAUUCUUUACCCCAUGCAUCCUUCAUCCCAUGGAUCUUUCACCCCAUGGACCCUCCACCCCAUGGAUUCUGCAUCUCAUGGAUGCUUCACUCCAUGGAUCCUUCACCCCAUGGGCCCCAGUGGAGGUGCAGGAAGGCCCUCGGGAAUGGGGAAACGGAGGCAGGAGCAUUUGGGAUGGCUCUGGAUGCUGCAUCCCUGCCUCGGCUCAAGGUUGGUGCCCUGCUCAUGGAAUUCCCUGUGGAAAACAAGGGAUGGAGCGAGGGGGUGGGGUAGGACCAUGCCUGGUGUGAUGGGAAUUCUUCAACCCUGGGAGCUCAUUUUUGUGGGAAAACCGGGAAUUACAGCAUGGGGAGGGAGAGCAGAGCCUUGGGAAAGGCUGGGAAAGGCUGGGGCAAGGAGGGAUCCGGGUUUGGGAUGGGGCAGGAGCCCUCCCCACGCGUCACCACCCCAAUGUCUCACCGGGUUGUUCUCCAGGGCCACCUUGACCUCGGGGACGUCGGUGCCUGUGAGGAGAAAACAAGGAUGCGAUGCCGAGCCAGAGCCUCCUCUUGGGAAAAUCCCACCUGGCAGCAAGGGAAGGGCAACUCUGAUCCCCUUCCCUCCAGUCUGGGAUGGCCCGGGGGGUUUGGGAUGCUCUGGGAAGCCGGGAAUGAGCAUUUCCAGGGGCCUGUGGGACCGGGGGAGAUCCCAAAGGGGCUUUGGCCAUAAAAAUGAUGGAGGAAAUCCCAGC